rnacentral:lncRNA from 1 species
AUGGUCCAAGCACGACCGGACAAAAUUGGUCCUUUUUUAGUCUUUGCUCUAUUCUCGUUACACGACAAUGAGCAAAGAGGGGCAGCUGUAAUAGGCCCAAUUUGCCUGGGGCCCAUUCAGAAUAAGCAGAAAAAAACAAAAAAAAAUGAUGAAUAUAAUAAGAGUCUAAUACAGUCCAGUAUUACAAAUUUAAAUCCAAGCCCAGAUUACAUUAAGCCUCAAACCCACUAAACAUCAGUCCAAAAAAAUUAGCCCAAACAAUUAAGGUCCAACACCUAAUUCUACCCAAAUCCCAAAUGAGC